rnacentral:lncRNA from 1 species
GGUCACAGAUAUUUUAGAGAGAAAAUAUUUCUGACCCAGAUUUUUGCCUUAAAUACAUUCUGGCCUAUCUGGGAUGAAAACAAUACUUUAGCAUAAAAUGUAUAAAAUAACGGGCAUAUUUUUUUUAAUGCUUUAAUGCCAUAUUACUUUUGUAUGUCCAUAAAAUCAUUGAACAUGACUGACAGAAUCAUUGAUGAUUUUUC